rnacentral:sRNA from 1 species
UGAGAUUAGCCUGCAGGUAAGUGCCAGU